UGAAUUGCAGAAUCCCGUGAACCAUCGAGUCUUUGAACGCAAGUUGCGCCUGAAGCCAUUAGGCUAAGGGCACGUCUGCCUGGGCGUCACGCAUCGCGUCACCCCUCCCCCAAUUCUGGCGGGCGGGGUG
rnacentral:rRNA from 1 species